GUUGCUCUGAGUGCAUAUUGCACCACAUGUGUUUUUCUUUGAAACAAACUUGCUUUGGCGGUGGGCCCAGCCUGCCGCCAGAGGUCUAAACUUACAACCAAUUUUUUAUCAACUUGUCACACCAGAUUAUUACUAAUAGUCAAAACUUUCAACAACGGAUCUCUUGGUUCUCGCAUCGAUGAAGAACGCAGCGAAAUGCGAUACGUAAUAUGAAUUGCAGAUAUUCGUGAAUCAUCGAAUCUUUGAACGCACAUUGCGCCCUCUGGUAUUCCGGAGGGCAUGCCUGUUUGAGCGUCGUUUCUCCCUCAAACCGCUGGGUUUGGUGUUGAGCAAUACGACUUGGGUUUGCUUGAAAGACGGUAGUGGUAAGGCGGGAUCGCUUUGACAAUGGCUUAGGUCUAACCAAAAACAUUGCUUGCGGCGGCAACGUCUACCACGUAUAUCUUCAAACUUUGACCUCAAAUCAGGUAGGACUACCCGCUGAACUUAAGCAUAUCAAUAAGACGGAGG
rnacentral:rRNA from 1 species